GAAGAGAAAAAAAGAAAGAACGUAAAUUCUUCGAACUUCCGGUUUCGAUUUUUUGCAAUUCGUAACUCUAAUAAAAAAUUUAAUCCGGAGGCAUAGACGAUUCUGGACAUUUUCUUCUUCGAUAGCUCAGUCAGAAAGUUUCUCCGGAGCUUCGAAUAUUUUGAUUCCGUACGAAGAUGCAGGUCGAGAGACACCUCGUUGAGCAUCUGGGUAUCCUCUUUACAAGCGAAGAACUACCUUUUUUACUGUCAUAUUUUUAUUUUGGGCUAUGUAUACAUGUUUAUAGAAUCUCCACAUGUACAUUUUGUGUUUUGUCCCUCCUAGAGGUCGACUUGGAGAUACAGGGGUUUACUUUGUGGUUUGACUUUUAUUUUGGGUUGUAUAUAUAUAUAUAAUCAUAUACUCUGGC